GGCGGGCUUUUAUCGUAGGCGGGGCCAUCCUGGAAGCCGGACUGUAUCAUAGGCGGGAUUGUUCUGGGGGCGGGGUUGUCUCAUAGGCGGAGCCAUCCUGGAGGCGGGCCUGUCCCUGAGUCUGCGAGGUAUCGGAAACAGAGCUGUCCGGAGGCGGCGCCCAGGUUGGGGUGAGGCUGAGCGGUCACUGAGGCGAGGCCGGGGCAUUAUUUCCGAACCCUGAGCCACGCCCGUGGUCUCCCGUUCUAUUUGCGGGCCACACCUGGGGCCGUUCUGCGGGUUCUCGGGGCGCCUACCAGAUGCAGAAACUAAAAACCAUGGUUUCAGCCUGCCACAAGCCCAAAAUAAAACAAAACAGAACAAGAACGACAACAAAAUAAGGCAAGUUGGAUAAGUUUUGAAAUGGCUAUUGCUUAUGCAAAGGUGCAGACCCCCAGAUCUUUCCUUUUCCUUAGGAGAAAACAGAAGCCAUUCAAUGAAAGUCAACAUAUCCUUACUGGACACUUGUUCUGUGAGACACUCUGGGAGAUGGAAAUGCUAUUAUGGUCAAUAAAUCUAGAGAGGAGAAAAGACAUGAAAACAACUCUAAUAUCAGGUCAACUAAUCUAAGUACCAAAAUUAGGUGCAAGGGCACAUAAAAGCAGCAGCAAUUAUUUCUGAUCCAAGGAUUAGAGAAGAAUGUGCAGAGAAGGUGACACAGAAACACAGCUUAGAAAAAUGUAUGUUUGUGGGCAGAUAAGGGUGGAGGGUAUUACAAUGUGAGGCUGUAUAAUAUUCCAAAGCAUGGAGAUAUGAAUGUGAAAGGCUCAAUUUGAGAAAGAAAAAAUAUUCAUAGUGGCUGAAACUAGUUAGCAGGACUUUCAUAGUGUUACCUCUACAGAAGCUUGGGCUAGGUGGAGAGGGACUUCGGCUGCCGUACUAGGGAGUUUUGAUUCCAUUCUACAGUUUGGAGCAAUUUUUUUUAAAGCACCAUUUAGUAAACACUGUGGUUGCCUCCUCAACAUCUAUUCCCUAUACUGCCCCUAUUUUCCUUUGUAACCAAAUUCAUUUAUCAGAUAAUCCACCCCUCCCUUAUGUGAUUCAGGGUACAAUGAAGGCAUCUCCAGUUCCAAGCACAGAUCUAUACUAGCUGAAGUCAGGCCGGUUAACUCAUACUUUUUGUGCUUCCAUGACAGACUCUUUCUAGGUAUACAUAAUAAAUAUACAUAAGCAAAAUUACUUCAUUGUCCAGCAUAUACAAUAGACAAACACAAAUCAGAAAUAUUGUUACCAGUGGUACCUCAGUCUAUUUUUUUGUCAAAUAGUGAGCAAUUGCUGCAGUGAUUGCCGUUUAUCACUAAGCCAAAUGCAGGGGAUGCUCAUACAUGUGCCUUCUAAUUGUGGGCUAGUAUUAAUAGUCACUGGCCUCCUUCUUAAAUUAUUUUCAGUCAUGAGCUUAACUUAAUGUGGUACCAUAUAUUCUUUCUUCUAAGGAUCUUCAGAAUCUGGAAAGAAUUAGCCACACUCUAAUUUAGAAACAGAGAUGGAUGAAUCCACCUAUGGACAUUUACUGGUAUGAGUCACUGGGGAGGUUUACCAAGUCACUAUUUAAGAUGAUCCAGAACAGGUGUCUACAGCUGCUUUAAGAAUCAGUAGUGUAGUGGCCAUGAAAACGUUCCUCUCAGAUGUCCAACUGCAGGGGGUGGGUAUGAAAUUGCAGAUGGCCCCAGCUGGUGUGCUCUGGAAUCCUUGGCACCAAGGCCAUGCUGCCAAGGGCUUCUCCAGGCUAGUGAUUAAAGGUAGUGGGGAUCCUAGGCAGGUCUAUUCCUGGAAGACAUGGGAUUCUUCUGAUGGGUGACUUUGGCUCAAGGACUCCUCAUUGUCUUGAAAGAAACUUUCUGAGACCUAUACUUCAGUGGAAACCUUUCUUUCCAUUGCUGUCUCCUUCCCAAGGGUUAAACCUACAUUGCAGUCUGAUGGUGGCUCUCCCGGCCUCUUCCGGCUCCCUCUACAUUUUCUCUCACAGGCAUAUCCUUUAAUAAAUCUCUUACAUAUCUGAUCCUAUCUUGGUUUCUACUUCUUGGAGGACCCAGAAUAACACAAGUACUGUCAUAAUUAUAUCUCCUCACUUUAAAACUCUUAAGUAUAAUUACUAAAAUUGUGUUGUAGUAGGAGUAAAAAGCAAAGCUACUAACUUGAGAGUGUUUAUGAAACACACAUUAAGUUUCAUUCUUUAGUACAUUUAUAAUAACUUUUAUUCAAAUUAUAGCGUGGUCUAUAUCCAAGGGCAAGUUCCUGAGUCGUAUUCAUUGAAAACAGUGGAACUUUGAAGCAAUGAGGGAAUUUGUUGCUUCUCUUGACAAGGGGGCAGUUACAAAAGCUUUCGUAUCUGCUUUGGUGUAUUUGUAAAAUUUACCUGGGGCUACAUUUUUUUUUCUGUUUGGAUUAUAAGUGUGUGGAACAUACGUGGUAAGAGCCAGUUAUAUUCCAAUCACAGAGGAUGUCUUGGAACAUGUGACUGCCACUCCAAAGGUGCUGAAACUUUCUUCCUCUAGUAAGGGACAAGGCUGGGGUGGAAGUGAGAAGAGAUAUUCUUAGGCUUAUAAUCUGUUCCUCCCAUGCUGGACCAGACAUAAAGUUUGGUUUUGUACUGAAGAUUUUAGUUGUCUGGGAGUCAGUGGAACCGAGUUAGCCCAAGAAUAAGAGUGGAUGUCCUUUUUCUCUUUCUGCCUUUGAAAUAUCAGACCAUUGGACAGGUGCUCAAUAGAUCCAAUUUUCUUAUAGUGCACCUACAUCAGUAUAAUAUAAAUGUCUUCAUUCACAAUCCCACAAGGGUUGUAAAUAUCAAUAUGCGAGGGGGAUAGUCUAUGGGAACUGAGGGUCAUAGUAGGUCAAUACCAUAUAAGAAAACUCCUACAGAGAGUGAGUCAAAAUCCCUACUCCUAUGGGACCAGCAUCUAUUAUUGUCUAUUUAUUUACUUAUUUGAAAAUGUAAACAAUUAUUUCCAAAUUGAUUUAUUCCAAAGUUGCUGUGACAUCAAGAUUAUUCCUUCUCAAAACUUUUCAUUAUAUAUUGAGACUUGUAGUCUUCAUUUCAUUUUGGUUUGCCCCAAGACUUCCACCAAGUCUAGCGGAUCUGUAGGGAACCAUCCUUUCCCAAGGUAUAUCAUGCAUACUUUUUGCUAUUAAUAUUUUUUUCAGUCUGUCCUUGUGAUCAAUCAAAAGAGAUGCAGAUUUGAAUCUCUCUAAGAGGAGCAACGGUUCUCCCUUUUUUCCUUUUCAACUGAUUAAACAAAACAGCAGCAGCCCCUGAUAUCCAGAAACUUGUCUGGCACUAACAGCUAGGCCAUAUUGUUCUCCCAUUACACAAAAACAAUUUCAGAGAACAUCAACAUCAGACCAGGUCACUCUGAGACCAUCAUAAACUGAGGCACAUACAAGAUUACCAGGUAACCCACAAAAUACUGAUCAUUCUUCUCUUAUCUAAAAUGAAUAAUUGCAACUUUUUAGAAACGAAUCACAGCUUUAUGCUCAUUUUAGUCAGCUCUCCUUAUAUAUGAAAUGUAUUGAGAUCUCAGUCAUAGAAUUGCUUCUGGUUCUUGACAGUAUAUAAUCUAGAACAAAGUCUUGCCUCUUCAGACACUUCACAAAAUGAUCCAACCAAAGCCCACAGCCUAUAAUAGGUUCUGACACCUUUUUACUGAUAUACCCAUUUCCCUAUGGUGUGCAUUUUCCCUAGCUGCUGUGAAUAAUAGAUUCAACUUGUUUAAUUAUAGGUGUGUUUCCACUGGUCUUUUGCUGUAGGGCAUUAAUAUUAUGUCCUAUGAAUGCAUUAAUAUUAAUAAUGCCCUACAACCAAACGUACGUUUUCCAGUGCUAGGAGAUCCACUAGGCUUUCUGCAAAAGGUCACUCUAACAUUACUGACACAAGUCAGUUGUUUGUCUUUUAAUGAUUUUGACAGCUGAAAUAGUUUAUCUCAGUUUCCUGUGAGGAUCUGAGAUUUAAGUCUGCUCUAGGUGUUAAGAGCAACAAGCUCAUAGUGCCAGUUGUCUUGUGAUUAAAUGUCAAAAACCAUAAUUAAGGCUUAUUAUUUUCUCCUUUGUAAUAGUUCUACUCCAAGGCUACACAAGCAGCAACAAAAAAAGGAAAAAUCCCUGUUUUAUUAAAGCUCCACUUGACUCUCCCAUCUCUAUUUACCAUGGUGAAGGGUCAAGGAAGAGUUUAUGACCUAUUUUCACGUUUUUGGCUCCUGCUUGAAGCAUAGAAAUCUCACAGACAGUAGGUAAGCCUGCUGUAUAUACUUGGGCCCUCACCUACAGGGCCCUCACCAUGUGCCUCAUGAACCAUGAGCACCACCAGACGCUGCGCCACCAGAUUGCUGCACUGGCGCUGCAGGCACUGGCUGAGCAGGGCCCUGCUGCCACUGCCGCCCUGGCCUGGCGCCCACCAGGCACCGACGGCGUUGUGCCGGCCACUGUCAAUUACUACGUGACCCCUGUGCAGCCUCUCCUCACUCGUGCCUGUCCCACCUGGCUGCCUUGUAACUGACUCAGACCCUGGCCAGAAGGAAAGGGACUAGGUCUCACAGCGUGGGGUGGGGCCUCCAAGAGUGUGUGGAGGACAUGAUCAGGGAUAGGCAGCCUGUGCCAGGUGGCCCAGCCCUGCAGGGUUGGGCCUUCUAUUGAACAAACCAGACUGCCCCGAGCACAAGGCCACUGUGGGCUUAAGGCCAGGCUGGAGUUCUCAGCUGGAGGACCCUUUGGUUAUUGCAUCACCCUUUUGGACCCAGCAUGACAGUGGGGUGCAGGAGCCAUUUGUCUUGGAGUUCAAUUGCCUUCAGGAAACAAAGCAAGUUUGGGAUGGUAGCCUUAAUCCCCAGCACCUCAGAUUGAUUCCCAUGGCCUACAAGGGCCUUUUUGACUAGGGCCGGCCUGUGGUGAUCCUGGCAGCUUUGGAGGUCCUGCAGCCCACACACUGACUGAUAUAUGGUAUGUUACAGGGACUUGUCACUUUGUGUUAGGCUGGGCCACCACAGGGCCUGAUGGUCCAACUUGGGUAAUCACUAGGGGGUGGGAAACUGAGGCAUGAGGCAGCUACCUGGGUUUUGGAAGGGCUGGGUUUAGCCUGGUUCUCUGAGAUAGAUACCCUAAGCUGUGAAGUCUUCCUCUUGAAGGGUUGAGGUGAGCAGUGCACAGGAGCCAAGGAGCUCAGGUCGGGUUGCAGCCCAGGCCCUUCCAGGGUGUCGCUCUUUUCCCCCUUGCAUUGCAAGGAGCCCUCCUGCUUGGGAGCUUGUUCUUUGGAGGGUGCUGAGCCUAAUUUGCCACAGUCAAAUCAACAUUCCUGCCCCACUGGCUUGGUUACAGGGCUCUCACAUCGGGGAGGGGAGCCCUGUAACCGCCUUGCACAUUCCCCUGGAUUUGUUGCUAUUUUGCACUCCUAAUACCUGCCAAUAAAGAUGGUCUACACUGAAAAAAAAAAAAAGCCACUUCUUGUUUUCAAGAAGAAGUGGAGUCUUCUCUCUAAACCCAUGGGAUCUCUUCUAUACUCUCUUAUAGAUUAUUUUUAUAUUGUGUGUUUGAUCAUUUUGUCUCCUCUAACCCCCUUUGAGUGCUGUCUCAGACUUUGUACUAAAUAAUUUUUGUAUUAUGUGAAAAAUGAGUUUUAUGUCACUAAGCAAUUCAUGGAAAUAAUUUUCUGUACCUACAUGUACAUAUUUCUUAACCAAUUACAUAUAUUUGAGUUCCUAAGAGGUAACUUUUUAAUGACCCUCAGGUGCACAUAUUUGUAUUAAGAUAAACCUUGGUUCCUGACUGUUAUCACUGGUCAAUACAUUUUUUUAAGCUGCAGUUGCUUCCCAAUCUCUAUUUAUCUUUCACUUACUCAUUCCUUUAUUCUAUUUAUUUUUAAUAUAAUGAGAACCUAUGAAACCCACCCAAAUUCAGACUAGAACAUCAAUAAUAACUCAACCUUUCUUAUCAAAUAAAUGCUUCUUUAUAGCACUCAAAGGCACAAGAAUCCAAAUGCAUAGGAAGCAUUUCUUAGUUCUGUUGAUUGAGAGGUGAGUUGUUUUUUGUGUAGUUAGAAGAAAGAUCUCUGAGAAGCUGAAGAAUACCUUCUGCCCCCUUCAUCUUGAAGAUUGAUUGCAAUAAUGUAGGUCAAAAAAGAAAUCCUUUUAAAAAUAGAAGCCAAGCAGGAAUACAAAGGCAUUUUAAGGAGUAGAGAACAGAGAAGGGAAAAAGUCUUGAAAGAAGGAAUAGAGUAUGUUACUUUUGCCAUCCCUAGUUACCUAUUGGCCUGUUAGGUACAUAUAUUAGGUGAGGUUUUGACCUUGGGUGAGGACAUUGCUUUAAGCACUAAAUAUAUUAGCUUUUGAUCCCAUGAAGAAGAGACAGGAAGCAUUUCUGAUAAAUACUGCUUUGAAGAUUGGCUGUAAGGCCAAGACUCAUCAGAGAGCUCCAGUUGACUAUGGGACUUAGACAAUGGAGAAAAGUAAACGCAUGGCAUAUUUCAAUUUCCCUUUACAGGAAUUCAGACUCCGUGGUGUGGUAGAAGACAAAAUAAUUUUGGUUAUUUCUGUGAUAACCUGAGCAAUCUGGAAACUACUCCUAUUUGUGAGGAUAAAUCUCUAUUAUGAUACAUGGAAAAUAGGACAGAUGCUAACUCACGUAAGAAAAGGCUUUUAUACAAAUAUUUGCCUUCAGACAGAAAUGUUAAUGAAGGUGGAGAAGGAAAAGCUACCAAAAAACUAAAAAUAGUAGGACACAAAAUACCUUGUAGUGAGUGUGAACCAUUCUGGUGCCUUGGCUCCAAGGGAGCAGCAACCUAGCAGAGCUACUGGACAACCAGCCCUGUACUUCUCUAGAGCACAGACCAGCUCACUAUGCAGCCCCUAAGAGAUCAGCACCCAAGAAGAACCUACCAGCCAUGGAUCCUCAGAGAACAGACCAGCCCAGUGCCCAGCCUUUAGGGGACAAGCAGCUGAGUAGGCAUACCAGCCACACAAACUUCUGCAGCCAAGGCCACUGGAGAACUCGCAGGCAUCACUUACAUUAACUACAGCUAAAGAAGCUGCAUAGAGACUACACUACUGCAUCCACCCAGAACAAAAACAAAUGUACCCUACCCAACCAACAUGCUAGGACACAUCUGCAGGUGUAAGUCUUUCUUCAUGAAAGCUACUCUACAAAGUUAGAAAAGGUUAUUAUUCCAUCAGAUGCACAGAUACCAGUGCAGGGAUACAAGAAACAUAAAAAAGCAAGGAAACAGGACACUGCCAAAGAAACGCAAUAAUUCUCUAGUAACCUCAAUCAAAUAAAUAAAAAUUUAUGAAUUGCCUGAAAAGGAAUUCAAAAUAGUGAGCUUAAGGAAACUUGGUGAGACAUGAAAGAACACAAACAGAUCAUUCAAUAAUUGGGAAAAACAAUUUGUGAUCUGAAUGAGAAAUUCAACAAAGAGAAAAAAAACCAGAAAUCUUGGGGCCAACAAAUUCAAUUAAUAAAAUGAAAAAUAGAAUUGAGAGUUUCGACAGCAAAACAGAUCAAACAGAAUUUUUGAACUUGAAAACAGGUCUUUUGAAAUAGUCUAGUCAGAGGUAAAGGAAAAAAAAAGGAAGAUGGAGAAGGAACAGCUACCAAAAAACUAAAAAUAGUAGGACACAAAAAACCUUGUAGUGAGUGUGAACCUAAGACACUUAAGUGGCACCAUAAGUGAACAAAAAUUUGCAUUUUGGCAACUUAAGAAGAAGA